ACUUAAAUUGAAGAGUUUGAUCAUGGCUCAGAUUGAACGCUGGCGGCAGGCCUAACACAUGCAAGUCGAACGGUAGCACAGAGAGCUUGCUCUCGGGUGACGAGUGGCGGACGGGUGAGUAAUGUCUGGGAAACUGCCUGAUGGAGGGGGAUAACUACUGGAAACGGUAGCUAAUACCGCAUAACGUCGCAAGACCAAAGAGGGGGACCUUCGGGCCUCUUGCCAUCAGAUGUGCCCAGAUGGGAUUAGCUAGUAGGUGGGGUAAUGGCUCACCUAGGCGACGAUCCCUAGCUGGUCUGAGAGGAUGACCAGCCACACUGGAACUGAGACACGGUCCAGACUCCUACGGGAGGCAGCAGUGGGGAAUAUUGCACAAUGGGCGCAAGCCUGAUGCAGCCAUGCCGCGUGUAUGAAGAAGGCCUUCGGGUUGUAAAGUACUUUCAGCGGGGAGGAAGGUGUUGCGGUUAAUAACCGCAGCAAUUGACGUUACCCGCAGAAGAAGCACCGGCUAACUCCGUGCCAGCAGCCGCGGUAAUACGGAGGGUGCAAGCGUUAAUCGGAAUUACUGGGCGUAAAGCGCACGCAGGCGGUCUGUCAAGUCGGAUGUGAAAUCCCCGGGCUCAACCUGGGAACUGCAUUCGAAACUGGCAGGCUAGAGUCUUGUAGAGGGGGGUAGAAUUCCAGGUGUAGCGGUGAAAUGCGUAGAGAUCUGGAGGAAUACCGGUGGCGAAGGCGGCCCCCUGGACAAAGACUGACGCUCAGGUGCGAAAGCGUGGGGAGCAAACAGGAUUAGAUACCCUGGUAGUCCACGCCGUAAACGAUGUCGACUUGGAGGUUGUUCCCUUGAGGAGUGGCUUCCGGAGCUAACGCGUUAAGUCGACCGCCUGGGGAGUACGGCCGCAAGGUUAAAACUCAAAUGAAUUGACGGGGGCCCGCACAAGCGGUGGAGCAUGUGGUUUAAUUCGAUGCAACGCGAAGAACCUUACCUACUCUUGACAUCCAGAGAACUUUCCAGAGAUGGAUUGGUGCCUUCGGGAACUCUGAGACAGGUGCUGCAUGGCUGUCGUCAGCUCGUGUUGUGAAAUGUUGGGUUAAGUCCCGCAACGAGCGCAACCCUUAUCCUUUGUUGCCAGCGGCUAGGCCGGGAACUCAAAGGAGACUGCCAGUGAUAAACUGGAGGAAGGUGGGGAUGACGUCAAGUCAUCAUGGCCCUUACGAGUAGGGCUACACACGUGCUACAAUGGCGCAUACAAAGAGAAGCGACCUCGCGAGAGCAAGCGGACCUCAUAAAGUGCGUCGUAGUCCGGAUUGGAGUCUGCAACUCGACUCCAUGAAGUCGGAAUCGCUAGUAAUCGUAGAUCAGAAUGCUACGGUGAAUACGUUCCCGGGCCUUGUACACACCGCCCGUCACACCAUGGGAGUGGGUUGCAAAAGAAGUAGGUAGCUUAACCUUCGGGAGGGCGCUUACCACUUUGUGAUUCAUGACUGGGGUGAAGUCGUAACAAGGUAACCGUAGGGGAACCUGCGGUUGGAUCACCUCCUUACCUUAAAGAA
rnacentral:rRNA from 1 species